rnacentral:rRNA from 1 species
AUUGAACGCUGGCGGCAGGCCUAACACAUGCAAGUCGAACGAGUGGCGGACGGGUGAGUAAUGUCUGGGAAACUGCCUGAUGGAGGGGGAUAACUACUGGAAACGGUAGCUAAUACCGCCUACCAUCAUAUGUGCCCAGAUGGGAUUGGCUUGUUGGUGGGGUAACGGCUCACAAGGGCGACGAUCCCUAGCUGGUCUGAGAGGAUGACCAGCACAAUUGGAAUGGAGACACGGUCCAGACUCUGAGGGGAGGCGGCAGUGGGGAAUAUUGCACAAGGGGCGCAGUCCUGAUGAGGACAUGCGGGGUGUAUGAAGAGGGCCUUCGGUUUGUAAAGUACUUUCAGCGGGGAGGCGUUACCCGAAGAAGAAGCACCGGCUAACUCCGUGCCAGCAGCCGCGGUAAUUC